rnacentral:rRNA from 1 species
AUGGCGCAGCCGCGGCAGCAGCAACGACAAGGUCGCCUCGUCGCGGCGCUCCUGGUGCUCCUCUCCCUCUGCUGCCUUGCUCGCCUCGGCGCCGCGGCUUCUGCAGCGAGUGCUGACCCUCACCGGAAGGAUGGAGCGGCGACUGCGCUGGACAAGGCCGCGCCACAGGAGGAGGAGGCAGUGCCCGGGUUCACGGUGACCACCGUGGAGGAGCGAGCGCGAGGCCGAGGACCGGUGAGGGUGGUGAUGGAGGUCGACAUCGAGGACUAUCCCCGGUAUGGCGCCAAUGGCCGGCACAACCCGGAGGGUCCGCACCCGUGA